rnacentral:rRNA from 1 species
GACGAACGCUGGCGGCGUGCUUAACACAUGCAAGUCGAGCGAGAUUAUUCUUCGGAAUAGUCUAGCGGCGGACGGGUGAGUAACACGUGGGCAGCCUGCCUUGUAGAGGGGGAUAGCCUUCCGAAAGGAAGAUUAAUACCGCAUAACGUUAUUGAAAGGCAUCUUUCGAUAAUCAAAGGAGCAAUCCGCUACAAGAUGGGCCCGCGGCGCAUUAGCUAGUUGGUGAGGUAACGGCUCACCAAGGCGACGAUGCGUAGCCGACCUGAGAGGGUGAUCGGCCACAUUGGGACUGAGACACGGCCCAGACUCCUACGGGAGGCAGCAGUGGGGAAUAUUGCACAAUGGGGGAAACCCUGAUGCAGCAACGCCGCGUGAGUGAUGACGGCCUUCGGGUUGUAAAGCUCUGUCUUUGGGGACGAUAAUGACGGUACCCAAGGAGGAAGUCACGGCUAACUACGUGCCAGCAGCCGCGGUAA